GAACGCACAUUGCGCCCCCUGGCAUUCCGGGGGGCACACCUGUUCGAGCGCCAUUUCUACCCUGGAGCCCUGCUCUGUGGUGGGCCCCGUCCUCGCGGACGGGCCCGAAACCCGUGGGCGCCGUCGCCAGGCCCCGAGCGUAGCAAGAGAAAUCCCUCGCUCGGAUCGCCCGGCCGCCGGUCGCCCCGAACCCAAACUAUACAAGGUUGGCCUCGGAUCAGGUGGGGAUACCCGCUGAACUUAAG
rnacentral:misc_RNA from 1 species